UACGAAGGGGGCUAGCGUUGUUCGGAUUUACUGGGCGUAAAGCGCACGUAGGCGGAUCGUUAAGUCGGGGGUGAAGUCCUGGAGCUCAACUCCAGAACUGCCUUCGAUACUGGCGAUCUUGAGUCCGGAAGAGGUGAGUGGAACUCCUAGUGUAGAGGUGGAAUUCGUAGAUAUUAGGAAGAACACCAGUGGCGAAGGCGGCUCACUGGUCCGGUACUGACGCUGAGGUGCGAAAGCGUGGGGAGCAAACAGGAUUAGAUACCCUCGUAGUCC
rnacentral:rRNA from 1 species